ACUUACGGCCAUACCACCCUGAGAACGCCCGAUCUCGUCUGAUCUCGGAAGCUAAGCAGGGUUGGGCCUGGUUAGUAAUUGGAUGGGAGACCACCUGGGAAUACCUGGUGCUGUAAGCU
rnacentral:rRNA from 1 species